rnacentral:rRNA from 1 species
UUGUCUCAAAGAUUAACCCAUGCAUGUCUAAGAAUAAAUAUCUUUAUUCUGUGAAUCUGCGCACAGCUCAUUAUAUCAGCAAUGAUUUAUUUGAUGGUACCUUGCUACAUGGAUACCCGUAGUAAUUCUAGAGCUAAUACAUGCACAAUAUCCCAACUCUCACGGGAAGGGACGUAUUUAUUAGAUCCAAAAUCAUUCCAGCUCUUUGGGCUGGCUCUUUGAUGAAUCAUAAUAACUUUUCGGACCGCAUGGCCUCGCGUCGGCGGCAGUUCAUUCAAAUUUCUGCCCUAUCAACUUUCGACGGUAGUGUAGGGGACUACCGUGGUGUUAACGGGUGACGGAGAAUUAGGGUUUGAAUCCGGAGAGGGAGCCUGAGAAACGGCUACCACAUCCAAGGAAGGCAGCAGGGGCGCAAAUUGACCAAUCCUGACACAGGGAGUCAGUGACAAUAAAUAACAAUACCGAGCUUUAUAAGGUUUGGUAAUUGGAAUGAGUACAAUUUAAACACCUUAACGAUGAUCCACUGGAGGGAAAGUCUGGUGCCAGCAGCCGCGGUAAUUCCAGCUCCAGUAGCGUAUAUUAAAGUUGUUGCAGUUAAAAAGCUCGUAGUUGGAUUUCUGAUGCGAUGCGACCGGCCCGCUGGGUUCAUUCCUAUGUUGAGUUGCUGGUACGCGUCCAUCUUCUUUGUGGAGAAGCGUUACUCCCGUUCUGCGGUGUGGUGACGUCGCUCUACAUCUUUUACUUUGAAAAAAUUAGAGUGUUUAAAGCAGGCUUUCGCUUAUGAAUACAUUAGCAUGGAAUAAUAAUAUAGGACUUUGGCCUAUUUAUUGGUUCUGGGUUGAAGUAAUGAUUGAUAGGGAUAGUUGGGGGUGCCUGUAUUAUGCGGUCAGAGGUGAAAUUCUCGGAUUCGCGUAAGACAAACUUAUGCGAAAGCAUUCGCCAAGGAUGUCUUCUUUAAUCAAGAACGAAAGUUGAGGGAUCGAAGACGAUCAGAUACCGUCGUAGUCUCAACCAUAAACUAUACCGACUAAGGAUGAGUGAACGUUGCAUUUUCGACUUCAUUCGCACUUUAUGAGAAAUCAAAGUCUUUGGGUUCCGGGGGGAGUAUGGUCGCAAGGCUGAAACUUAAAGGAAUUGACGGAAGGGCACCACCAGGAAGUGGAGCCUGCGGCUCAAUUUGACCCAACACGGGAAAACUUACCAGGUCCAGACUCUGGAAGGAUUGACAGAUUGAAGAUCUUUCUUAAUUCGGAGGGUGGUGGUGCAUGGGCGUUCACAGUUGGUGGAGUGAUUUGUCUGGUUAAUUC